UCUGGCGUUGGGUAUCUGAAUUAUCUCAUCCGAACUCCAACGAAUUGUUAAGCAUAUAUACGAUAACGGCAAAUACGCCUCCAAGGAAAAGUAUAUCGCACAGAAACUCGCUUGACGACGAUCGUGUGUAUGCGCUCAUCGUCACGUAUAGCUAGGAAAAGUCUGCAGGGUGGCCGAAAGUUCAUCACCCAACUGUCCUAUUAUAACGCAUCUAUAUAUACGUAUAUAUUCGGCGCGACGAGCAUGAAUGCUCAUAUCUAUCUGAGUAACGUCAGUGGAAAUACACACCCGCGCCGAUGACUAUUUCGAGAAGGCGCGACACUUUAGCGACUGUCUGAUUGCACGAAAUAGUUGUGUGCGUCUGUAUAUUCGAAUACUGCAGAGAAAGAAAAUAAAAAAAAAAGAAUAUAUAUCAGUGCUUAUGAUAAGGAGUGCAGGGUCGUGUGACCUCUUCUAAUCACGUUUCCACUUAUCGUUCGGCUGUAUGACUGUAUUUUAAUAUCGUCACCAACUUUGCACGCGUUCACGAGGAUUGGACCCAGUCUAAUGACUAAUCAGACGAUGAUACAGAUACUGCAGUGUUCUAGUAAUACACGUUGUAAGUUUAUGGGGAUGUUUGUGUAUGACAUUUUUUAUUUUGAACGAUAUUCGAUUGAAUUAUAAAUGUGUGUAAUGUAAGUUUCCGAUCAAAAUCCAAUCAAUAUUAUGUUAUAUUGCUUAAAGCAGUAAAUGAAUAAGAGGUCUGAUAAGAUGAAAGAGUUUCUCGACGAUGAGCAUCAAUCUAUGUCUUGUUACACUGAACAAGAGGACCCCAUCUUGUGGAAACGGCGGAUUCUCUCAAUUCCCUGGUACUGUCACAGAAAAUUUGAUACAGGAUAAGCGAAAUUGAG